AUUCAUUGUAAUUAUUACACAUGUGCACGAGCAAAAGCACAUGAACGAGAUAACCAAAUAUUCAUCGAAAAAGCGAUAUCAAAUAGCAAGAGAUGUUG